rnacentral:rRNA from 1 species
AACUACGGCCAUGUGACGCAUUGGAUAAACCCGAUUCCUCGAUCUCUGAAGUUAAGCAAAGCGUAGUCCAGUCAGUUCUUGGAUUGGUGACCAACCAAGGAAGACCGGAUGCUGUAGCCA